AUCUCAUUGUGGCUGUGCAUUGCAUUUCCCUGAUAAUUAGUGACGUUGAGCAUCUUUUCGUAUACCUGUUGGCCAUUUGUAUGUCUUUGGGAAAAUGUCUAUUCAGGUCCUUUGCCUAUUUUUUAAAUUGGAUUACUUGGUUUUUUUUUUUUUGCUGUUGAGUCGUAUGAGUUCCUUAUAUAUAGGAAUGCUAGUUAUAGCAUUGUUUUUAAAUGCAGAAUCCUGGAACCAAUCUGGAUGUCUAUCAAUUGGAUAAGAUUUAGUUGCUCCAUAACUGUUAUGGUACAUGUAUACUACAGAAUAAUAUGUAUGUACUAAAAAGAAUGAGUUAGGUCUAUCUUUACUAACUUGCGGUGAUGUUCAUGAUAAAAUUUUUAGGGGAAAAAUUCAGUUGCAGAAUACAGUAUGCAGUGUGAUUCUUUCUUUAAAAAAUAUACGUACGGCCGGGCGUGGUGGCUCACUACU
rnacentral:lncRNA from 1 species